CUGCCCUGUCUAGUGAUCAGCUGCUCUCUCCUUGGCCGUCCAGUCUCAUUCCAUUGCCAGAUCAACCUCAGUCAGCAGAAAGGCAAGGCCACAACACUGGCCUCUCCAUUUCGAUGGCUGAGAAUACAC
rnacentral:snoRNA from 1 species